rnacentral:rRNA from 1 species
UACGGAGGGUGCUAGCGUUGUUCGGAAUCACUGGGCGUAAAGGGCGUGUAGGCGGCCUGCUAAGUCUGAUGUGAAAGCCCGGGGCUCACCCCCGGAAGUGCAUUGGAAACUGAUGGACUCGAGUCCCGGAGAGGAGAGUGGAAUUCCUGGUGUAGCGGUGAAAUGCGUAGAUAUCAGGAGGAGCACCGGUGGCGAAGGCGGCUCUCUGGACGGUGACUGACGCUGAGACGCGAAAGCGUGGGGAGCAAACAGG